rnacentral:rRNA from 1 species
CUUGGUCAUUUAGAGGAAGUAAAAGUCGUAACAAGGUUUCCGUAGGUGAACCUGCGGAAGGAUCAUUAAAGAAUCGGUGACCCUCGCGGUCCCAUUCUCGCCCUUUGUAUACCAAACAUCAGUUGCUUUGGCUGGCUCUCGGGCCGGCCAGAGGAAGUAAACCCUUGAAUCUUUGCUGUCUGAGUACUAUAUAAUAGUUAAAACUUUCAACAACGGAUCUCUUGGUUCUGGCAUCGAUGAAGAACGCAGCGAAAUGCGAUAAGUAAUGUGAAUUGCAGAAUUCAGUGAAUCAUCGAAUCUUUGAACGCACAUUGCGCCCUCUGGUAUUCCGGGGGGCAUGCCUGUUCGAGCGUCAUUACAACCCUCAAGCCUAGCUUGGUGUUGGGCUCGCCCCCAGUGGGCCUGCCCCAAAAUCAGUGGCGGCUCCGUCCGGUCUCAAGCGCAGUAAUACUCGUCGCUUGUUGGUCCUGGGCGGGUGCCUGCCAGCAACCCCCAAUUUUAUAUUGUUGACCUCGGAUCAGGUAGGGAUACCCGCUGAACUUAAGCAUAUCAAUA